CGCCGCUUUAGCCAGGAGACAUGAUUUCUUCAACAUAUUUUUGACGUGGAAGUCGCAGCGGAUUGAUGCGCUGGUGGCUUGUUGGAGAUAUAUAUGUCGAUUUUUCUUUCUUGACGAUUACGCUUGUGCCUGGACUUACUGCUUCACGCAAAUCAAUCUAUCGUUCAAGAGGUGGCGGUCAGAGCUGAAGAAAAAAUAUUUUACUCAAAGAACAGAAGAUUGGGAGCGUUACUGGCAUCUUGACAAGCGCGUGGAUGGAGUUGAUUUUUUUGCACUUUGCGAUUAUUGGGACACGGCCGAAGCUCAGGAACAAGCUGAAAUAGCAAGGAGGAACCGCAAUGCGCCCCGCAGUUACGAG